rnacentral:rRNA from 1 species
CUCUCGGAGUGACGGGUACACUGUGGGACCGCCGCUGCUAAAGCGGAGGAAGGAAUGGGCAACGGUAGGUCAGUAUGCCCCGAAUAUCCCGGGCUACACGCGAGCUACAAUGGUUGGUACAAUGGGUAUCUACCCCGAAAGGGGACGGGAAUCUCCUAAAACCAAUCUUAGUUCGGAUUGAGGGCUGCAACUCGCCCUCAUGAAGCUGGAAUCCGUAGUAAUCGCGUUUCAACAGAACGCGGUGAAUACGUCCCUGCUCCUU